rnacentral:rRNA from 1 species
UACGUAGGGGGCAAGCGUUGUCCGGAAUCAUUGGGCGUAAAGAGCGUGUAGGCGGUCCGGUAAGUCGGCUGUGAAAGUCCAGGGCUCAACCCUGGGAUGCCGGUCGAUACUGCCGGACUAGAGUUCGGAAGAGGCGAGUGGAAUUCCUGGUGUAGCGGUGGAAUGCGCAGAUAUCAGGAGGAACACCGAUAGCGAAGGCAGCUCGCUGGGACGGUACUGACGCUGAGGUGCGAAAGCGUGGGGAGCGAACAGG